rnacentral:ncRNA from 2 species
ACGCUCCGGAGUGCUACUGGUUCGCCCGGCCCCAGGCCGGGCGAGGUAACAGGGAACCCGGUGCGAAUCCGGGACUGCCCCGCAGCGGUAUGUGGGAACGAAAGCCGUCACCGUGCGAGACACGGUAAAGCACUGGGACACGGCGUCCCGGGAAGCGACGGCCGGUAGGAGCGAGCGAGUCGCCCACGAGUCCGAAGACCUGCCCGUGGUACGCGCGCCGA